rnacentral:rRNA from 1 species
CGUAGGUGGCAAGCGUUGUCCGGAUUUACUGGGCGUAAAGGGCGUGCAGGCGGUCUGCUAAGUCUAGGGUGAAAGCUCCCGGCUCAACUGGGAGAGGUCCUUGGAUACUGGCGGACUUGAGGGAGGCAGAGGAAAGUGGAAUUCCCGGUGUAGUGGUGAUAUGCGUAGAUAUCGGGAGGAACACCAGUGGCGAAGGCGGCUUUCUGGGCCUUACCUGACGCUGAGACGCGAAAGCGUGGGGAGCGAACCGGAUUAGAUACCCGGGUAGUCCACGCCGUAAACUAUGGACACUAGGUGUGGGGGGUAUCGACCCCCUCUGUGCCGAAGCUAACGCAUUAAGUGUCCCGCCUGGGGAGUACGGCCGCAAGGCUA